AGUGAACGCUGGCGGUAGGCCUAACACAUGCAAGUCGAACGGCAGCACAGUAAGAGCUUGCUCUUACGGGUGGCGAGUGGCGGACGGGUGAGGAAUACAUCGGAAUCUACUUUUUCGUGGGGGAUAACGUAGGGAAACUUACGCUAAUACCGCAUACGACCUACGGGUGAAAGCAGGGGAUCUUCGGACCUUGCGCGAUUGAAUGAGCCGAUGUCGGAUUAGCUAGUUGGCGGGGUAAAGGCCCACCAAGGCUACGAUCCGUAGCUGGUCUGAGAGGAUGAUCAGUCACACUGGAACUGAGACAUGGUCCAGACUCCUACGGGAGGCGGCAGUGGGGAAUAUUGGACAAUGGGCGCAAGCCUGAUCCAGCCAUACCGCGUGGGUGAAGAAGGCCUUCGGGUUGUAAAGCCCUUUUGUUGGGAAAGAAAAGCAGCAGGUUAAUACCCCGCUGUUCUGACGGUACCCAAAGAAUAAGCACCGGCUAACUUCGUG
rnacentral:rRNA from 1 species